rnacentral:tRNA from 1 species
AUUCUCUUCUCAAGACA